rnacentral:rRNA from 1 species
UACGGAGGGUGCGAGCGUUGUCCGGAAUCACUGGGCGUAAAGCGCACGUAGGCGGAUCGUUAAGUCAGAGGUGAAAUCCUGGAGCUCAACUCCAGAACUGCCUUUGAUACUGGCGAUCUUGAGUUCGAGAGAGGUGAGUGGAACUGCGAGUGUAGAGGUGAAAUUCGUAGAUAUUCGCAAGAACACCAGUGGCGAAGGCGGUUCACUGGCUCGAUACUGACGCUGAGGUGCGAAAGCGUGGGGAGCAAACAGG